rnacentral:rRNA from 1 species
ACGUAGGGGACGAGCGGUGUCCGGAUUUACUGGGCGUAAAGGGCGCGUAGGCGGUCAUUUAAGUCAGCUGUGAAAUGGUUUGGCUUAACCGGAUCAUGCGGUUGAAACUGGAUGACUGGAGUGCUGGAGAGGAAAGUGGAAUUCCCAGUGUAGCGGUGAAAUGCGUAGAUAUUGGGAAGAACACCAGUGGCGAAGGCGACUCUCUGGCCAGUACCUGACGCUGAGGCGCGAAAGCUAGGGGAGCAAACGG